UACGGAGGAUCCAAGCGUUAUCCGGAAUCAUUGGGUUUAAAGGGUCCGUAGGCGGCCUUAUAAGUCAGUGGUGAAAUCUCACGGCUCAACCGUGAAAUGGCCAUUGAUACUGUAGGGCUUGAAUUACCAGGAAGUAACUAGAAUAUGUAGUGUAGCGGUGAAAUGCUUAGAUAUUACAUGGAAUACCGAUUGCGAAGGCAGGUUACUACUGGUGGAUUGGCGCUGAUGGACGAAAGCGUGGGUAGCGAACAGG
rnacentral:rRNA from 1 species